rnacentral:misc_RNA from 1 species
CGCACAUUGCGCCCCUUGGCAUUCCGGGGGGCAUGCCCGUUCGAGCGUCAUGUAAAAUCUCAAGCCUGGCUUGGUAUUGGGUCCCGGGACCAACCCGGACCUCAAAUGCGUCGGCUGUUAGGAGUGCAGUAGCAGGUGCCGUAACUACUUACUAGCACGAAGCUCGCCCGUCCUGCCUUACGCGUUUGCAUCGGUCGUCGACCGAACACAAGUUUGACCUCGGAUCGGGUAGGAAUACCCGCUGAACUUAA